rnacentral:tRNA from 1 species
GCAGGCGUGGCUCAAUGGCAGAGCAAUUGCUUCGUAAGCAAUGGGUUGAGGGUUCAAUUCCCUCCGCCUGCU